ACGCUGGCGGCGUGCCUAAUACAUGCAAGUAGAACGCUGAGGUUUGGUGUUUACACUAGACUGAUGAGUUGCGAACGGGUGAGUAACGCGUAGGUAACCUGCCUCAUAGCGGGGGAUAACUAUUGGAAACGAUAGCUAAUACCGCAUAAGAGUAAUUAACACAUGUUGGUUAUUUAAAAGGAGCAAUUGCUUCACUGUGAGAUGGACCUGCGUUGUAUUAGCUAGUUGGUGAGGUAAAGGCUCACCAAGGCGACGAUACGUAGCCGACCUGAGAGGGUGAUCGGCCACACUGGGACUGAGACACGGCCCAGACUCCUACGGGAGGCAGCAGUAGGGAAUCUUCGGCAAUGGACGGAAGUCUGACCGAGCAACGCCGCGUGAGUGAAGAAGGUUUUCGGAUCGUAAAGCUCUGUUGUUAGAGAAGAACGUUGGUAGGAGUGGAAAAUCUACCAAGUGACGGUAACUAACCAGAAAGGGACGGCUAACUACGUGCCAGCAGCCGCGGUAAUACGUAGGUCCCGAGCGUUGUCCGGAUUUAUUGGGCGUAAAGCGAGCGCAGGCGGUUCUUUAAGUCUGAAGUUAAAGGCAGUGGCUUAACCAUUGUACGCUUUGGAAACUGGAGGACUUGAGUGCAGAAGGGGAGAGUGGAAUUCCAUGUGUAGCGGUGAAAUGCGUAGAUAUAUGGAGGAACACCGGUGGCGAAAGCGGCUCUCUGGUCUGUAACUGACGCUGAGGCUCGAAAGCGUG
rnacentral:rRNA from 1 species